rnacentral:rRNA from 1 species
GACGUAGGGUGCGAGCGUUGUCCGGAUUUAUUGGGCGUAAAGAGCUCGUAGGCGGCUCGUCGCGUCAGCUGUGAAAACCGGCAGCUUAACUGUGGGCUUGCAGCUGAUACGGGCGGGCUAGAGUUCGGUAGGGGAGAUUGGAAUUCCUGGUGUAGCGGUGGAAUGCGCAGAUAUCAGGAGGAACACCAAUGGCGAAGGCAGAUCUCUGGGCCGUAACUGACGCUGAGGAGCGAAAGCAUGGGGAGCGAACAGG